UUGGGCUGAUUGUUUUAUUUUGAUAUUUGCUAAGCUUUAAUAGUUUACUUUUCAUAGGAGGCCCAUAAGAGAGACGUUCCUUGUGCAAACCUAUUAUCUUCUUCUUUGUAACUCUCGCCAAUUGUGAAACUAAAUCGUCACCGGUUACAAACAACACCCACUUCUUCCACUAAUUCAUCAUUUACUCUCUUCUUCAAAUUAGUAAUCGAACAAUCUUUUAAUUUCUAUAAGACCGCUCAUAGUUGCAUAUUCUCUGGCAAAAAUGUAACUAUUGACAAGAACUUUAAAGCUUGGGAUAUUUUUUACUACAACUGUGACUAAUCCAGAGGCGGAGGAUUGGCUGGCGAUGGAAGGAAGGUAGGGUUUAGGCGAAGAGAGGACGCCGGAGAGAGUGGUAUUGUUGGGGGAGCUAGCUGGCGAUGAAAUACCAGAAUAGAUGAUUGCGAUGGUGGCGCGUGUGGAUUCGUUUCAGUAACAUGGCUGAUUUUGCAUCAGUCCAGCUUGAAUGGAAGAAAUCUGAUAAAGGAAAGGCUGUGAAUUCGUUGUGUCCCGGUAUAAGCUCGAUGAGUGGUUUGUGGAAUUGGGUUAUUGCGAUCAUGGAGAAUCUAAGAGAAUCGCCUUUGUUGGUGCACUUAUACGAGGCUGAGGAACGGAGAUUGUGAAGACAUAGCAUCUAAUGGAAGCUCUUUUGGAGCAGAAGAAUGGGUUAAGCACAUGAUAGGUGUGGAUAACACAAACGUUCAAGAAGCAAAAUAUAAGUUACAUUGAACACCAACCAAAGGUAAUGGAUGUCUAUUAUCAGGAUUUGAAUUUUGUUUUUUCUCUUGUUUGGAGAGUAAUAAGUUAUGUAGUGGUCCAUUUACAAGCACUGGUUCAAUGUUGGGGAGUGAUUUGCAAGGUCUGUUUCAGAGAUCAAAACAGUAAAAGAAAGACUUAGGCGACUCCUAUCUCUCAGUGGAGUAUUUGGUUCUCACUUUUGUUGAUGAUAAACAGUCGCUUAAGGAUUUUCAGAUAUCUGAGAGAAGCAUCCUCUGACUGGAAGAGAUGACAACCGGUUGACUACAGAAUCUGAAGAGAUGACAGAAUGUUGAUAUCUCUCGAUAUGGUUCCAUUUAUUACUGGAGAAAAAUAUUGAGGAGAAUUAGAAUGUAGAGUAAAGGAUUUUAAGUGCGACUAAUGGGGUGGUGGGUGCUGUUAAUCUGCUAAAAUCAAUGUUGGGUCGAGGUGAACUAUGAUAUACGUUGAUGAAUUACAAAUAUGGUGAAGAGAACCUCCAUUUUCUUUUCUGAAAGAGGAGCGAACAAUGAAAGAAAUGACGAAUAAGAUCAGAAAUCACGUGUUCAUGCUUUUGGGGUUGGAAAAACCAAUAUCUUCUGAAAUCCCAGUUGGCGAUUUUGGAAUUUAGCCUGAACUGCUUGUGCUAAUGUCAAAGGAUCACAACCUGGUUUUACUUGAUUAAAAAAUCUCUAAUUCUUUUUGUUUGGUGAUCGCCUCCGGUUUCGUUUUUGUGACUUGAUGAAGGAGGCAAAAUAGAAGUUUUUCCUUAUAGGCACAACAAAAGGGUCUCUACCACUGAUACACCAUUCAACUUUAUUACGAGCUCUACAAUCAGCUACAUAUGUAUGCUGAUUAAGUUUGCCAUCUCUGGCAUCCAUGAAAUUGUGUAUUCCAAAAUUAUAAUUUGGCUUUUCAGAUGAAAAAGAUUUCUUUCUAAUAUUUGGUCUGAGAGUGAACACUGUGAAAAAAAUAUGCUCAACUCCUCGAACAAGCUUGGAAGAUAGAAGCAAUACAACAUCCAGCAGUCGAGUUUGAAGAUCAUAAAAUUCUGGUGAAUAAACUAUUCUGGUCAAUGAUUAUCUGUCAUAAUGUUUUAUUUUUGCUGACAUUAUCUUAACAUACUACGCCGACAAAUUCUUUGGAUAAAUCUAUUGAACAAUUAUCUUUUUUCUCGCCAACUAUUUAACAAUUACUUUAUACAGUACUACAAAGUUUAGGCAAACAAAACUUUGUAAACAAUUCCUAAUUUUUCAUAUAAAAAAAUAUCAAAAACAUAUUCCACUUAUUUUAAUAAAAUUUAAAACUGAAUAGUAUAUUCCAGAUAUAAUAUUAAAAAAAUCUGAUUCAUUAUUAAUAUUACAUAUAAAAAUACGUAUUUAAAUAAUCUGCAUAUCACCCAUCUGCUUUUUUUUACUGAAUUUUUGCAUCAUGUCCCUCAUCUGUUAAAAUCAAAAAUAAUCGUUUAGGACUUCUCUGGUAUGUUUGAACUUGCAAAAUUGUAAAUUUAGAAAUUAUAUUUACCAAAAACUAAAAUAAAUAGAAGCUUGGAUUAGUUUUAUGAAAAUUUACAGAUAUCAGAAAAUUAAAAUUUUAAAACACUACAUUUUUAUCUAGAAGAUUUUGUGAACAAAAUAGAAAAGGCUAAAAAUCCACAAACACACGACUUAUUGCAUGUAUAUAUUUUACUACUUUGAUUAAAAAGAUAAAGAUGAAAUUUUCCAGAAAACAUAUAAUAGUUUAAGAGUCCCACUAAAUAACUUCGCAAAACAUAUAAAACAUAAAUAAAAAUAGAUAACUUAAAAUAAAACAAGCAUAUAUAUCAAAAGUAUAGACUAUAAAAAACGUAGCUCUAUUAAAAUCAUCUCAACAAUAUUAUAAAAUUUAAUUAAUCGUAAAGAGACUGAACUUGGUUAACAAAAAUUCAAACAGUAUUAAUCCUUCAAUCAAAAAAAAAGAUCAAACAAUAUUUAACCUAAAGAAAUCAUAAAUAAAUAAACAAUAACAAUCAUGAAAUUAACUAUUCAAAAAGGCAAUUGCAUUUAAAUUUAUAAAUUGACUCAAAGAAAUUAAAGUUGAAUAUUUUACCAUCAAAAGGUUUCAGUUGAAAGAGGUAAUAAAAAUAAAUAAGAUGAACUACUGAAUAAAGAUUCACACAUUAUAUAAAAAUAUUUUUUAAAAUAUAAAUAAAUAUUAACUAAAUAUUUAAUUAAAAUAAAUAAAACUAGAAAAACAAAACUGAGAAAGCAUUGAGUGUGUAGAAAUGGAACUGUAUCUAAAACAGAAUUCACAAUAUAAACAAUUAUACUUUCAAAUCAAAUUAUUCUACAUAAUUAACCGAAAUCUCGCGCGUAGCGCGGAAAAACCACUAGUAAUGAAUAAAACAGAACAUUUAGCAUCUAUAUAUCUUAUACAAUAAAGUUAUAUUUUCUCUCUUCUCAUGCGUCCACGUCAGCAAAGAAGGAAGAGCUUUUUUUGACACCUGGCACUACGAAACACGAGUCGCACCUGCGUUUUAUCAAUUAUGCUUGGACUGAGCUUUUAUAGAUAUCAUAGAUGGGCUUUGUAAUCAAAAUGGGAAGCCCAUUCAAGUUUUAGGUUUCCCCAUCGUCUUCUUCACGACGAUAAUUCCAAAGCUCGCCUUUCACCUUCCCGUAACCUUUCAACCUUCAUUAUUAUGUGCUUAACUCUGGUCUUCAGCGUAAUUAUCCAACUCCUCCAAUUGAGCAGCAUUCAAUCAACCUCUUCGCAUCCCCCAGUAACUGGCUGAAGCUUCAACUAUACAUAUCCCACCUUUCGAUGAUGAAAACCACAACUCAGACGAGAUACCACUUACAAUAGAUAUCACCUCCGAUGGAACUCAUCACUACGAUGAGAAAGUUUUGUGUUUCAUCAAAGGAUAUUUCGUUGUUUGAUACUGCUUGCUUUGAUCACAUGUACACUCGAACAUCCUCCAAGAACUUACAUUGUUGACAGCUCUCUCAUUCCAUAACCUCCAGAAGUAGGUCAGUUCUCAGGUGGUAGAUGAACUUUGGAAAUACGUUAAGUGAAAAGAACGUGUGUAGAUGAACUCAAUAUUCAGAACGUCUUUCUAUGCAACAUUCAGCAAGGUGGUAGCUUCCAGUUACACUAAAAAGUCAAAAGUUUGGAAAGCUUGGAUCUGAUCUAGUCACGUGCUCAAAGUCAUAUUUUUUUGUUAGUAUUUUUGCAAUUAUUUAAACAAUGAACUUGUACAGCUUGAGAGGGGACAAAUUCUGAAAGCGGAUCCAUACUUGGGGUUAAGAGAACCAAGCAUCACCUUCCUUGCUGAAUCACAAUUUUCUGAAUCUUUCUUAGUUCUACAGUUACAUUAUUAAGCUGUUGAGAACAAAAGCAUCGUAAUAGACAUCUUACAGUAUAACAGUGCUAUUACGAGAUCUUCACUUCUUCCUAUAUAUGAUAAUAUGUUGAGUUCUGUA